CCAUAACCACAUGAUCAAUGUAUACAUGAAUAAAGAAUAAUACAUAAACAACAUAAGUAGUCUUCAUUCAUCAUCAUUAAUUUAUCUAUGUCCAUCUAUUCCGUCAGUUUUCGGGGCUGCCUAUAACCAAGGGCACGACUAGUAUACCAGAUUGUUAAACUCUGUGCAGAGGUGUACACUUUCAUUAUGAGUCGUCAUUUAACCUUUCGCCCAAGGUAGGUAAUAUCUUAACCCUCUUCCUAGGCAGGUGGACAUGUUUCACUAUGAAGCCUUUUAAAAGUUUCAUCUAACAAGUUAGGGCCAUUAGAUUCACUCGGCAGACAAAUAUAGAACCCCUCUUCCAUGGCACAUAACGCGUAGCCUAUACACAGGGAUAGAGGCCGCACUAUACCCAACGUGUCAAGCCAUUCUUACGUCAUUGAAGAUAACUGCUAACAAGCUAGAAAAAGGUUUUCAUACUGAGCACUUAUAGUUGUACGAAUUGUCCCAGCUUUUGCCAAGGGAUAAGUCCUUAUGGAGGGUCAAGAUGAACUAGCAAAAGCCAGAGCUCUUUUCACCUUUUAUGUUAAUGUUGCUACAAAACAUCUUUUAGUGUUUAUUGCAUAUUAAAAUAUUCCUGUUAUAAGAUCAUGGUCAUAAAUUCAACGUUAGCAAAUACUACCUCAAUGCAUAUCCAAAAAGUAUCAAGGUAUUCAGGAUAUCAAACAUCUAUGAUUUCACUAAGGUCAUCAAGGUGGACACAUGCAUAUGAUAUAUGUAUUAAAAGUGUAUAGGUAACAAGAAUAAUCCCAACUUAUAGUUGCCUUAAAUACAUGUUUUCCACUCAAGGUCAAAUGCUCAUAGAAAUCCUUCGGUCUUCUAUUUUGUAGCUUCUGUCCCCCAACGCCGACAUACAGUCCUCUUUCUACUCGUAGCAAGCACCACGCAUAGGCCAACAUACAAGCAAUAAAAAAAGCAACUAAGAAUAAUAUACCACAUAACAUUAAGCAACAUACUAAAAGAGAACUUCCUGCUAUGGCCAUGAGAGCGCAAAAAAACACCAAGAGCAAGUCUACGGUUAAAAAAACAACUUUAGGGAGUUCUAUAUUAUUUUAUUAUUUCAUAUUAUAAAAGAAAAACCUCCAUGCUUGUUUUAUUUUAACUCGUAAAACUAUAAGAAGCAUAAUAAUUCAGAUUAUAUAAAUCAUAUUUAAAUUUAUAAACCGAGG
rnacentral:lncRNA from 1 species